AACGAACGCUGGCGGUAUGCUUAACACAUGCAAGUCGAACGAACAAAAUUGGGGCUUGCUCCAAUUUUAGUGAGUGGCAAACGGGUGAGUAACACGUGGGAAUCUACCUAUCAGUACGGAAUAACAUUUGGAAACAGAUGCUAAUACCGUAUAUUCUCCAAGGAGGAAAGAUUUAUCGCUGAUAGAUGAGCCCGCGUAAGAUUAGGUAGUUGGUAGGGUAAUGGCCUACCAAGCCGACGAUCUUUAGCUGGUCUGAGAGGAUGAUCAGCCACACUGGGACUGAGACACGGCCCAGACUCCUACGGGAGGCAGCAGUAGGGAAUAUUGGACAAUGGGGGCAACCCUGAUCCAGCCAUGCCGCGUGAGUGAAGAAGGCCCUCGGGUUGUAAAGCUCUUUUGUCCGGAAAGAAAGCAAUCGGUUAAUACCCGGUUGUUCUGACGGUACCGGAAGAAUAAGCACCGGCUAACUUCGUG
rnacentral:rRNA from 1 species